AUUGCUAGGGGUGCUUGUAAGCUGAAAGAGGCAUUGUUCUCAACCCUUUGAACCUGAUCUGGUUAGUACCAGCGUAGGGAAGCAGAAAAGU
rnacentral:ncRNA from 1 species